CCCGGCUGCGGGGGGCUCUGCUCCCUGUGCGGAUGAGGGGCGGCGUGGGCAGAGCACACCGAGAUUUCAGGGCCCUUGAAGCCAUGGCAGGUGACAUCAGCCUUGAGGUGGGCAGCCUGGCCCGUCAAACCCUGGACCUUCUCAGGGCAGGAGACCGUGCCCCAGUGUCCGUGUUCGUGAGGCUGAGAGAUCAGCUCCACAGGGCAUGGAGGUCACGGCCUCGUCCAUGGGGCUGUGCCUGGCUGUGCUGCUGGAGCUCCACUGAGACGUGAUCUGGGAGCCUCUGUCUACUGUGGCCGCCUGAUCCAGCAGGCAUUUUCCAUUUAUUUCCAGUCUGUCCUUUUGGUGUUUUCGGUUUUCUGUAGUGUUUAAAUAUAGGAUGUGUUCUAAGAAA